GGGCCGCAAUACGUUCGCCACCACUAGUUGGCGCUGUCUUCCACUGCGCCCCACGUGGUAGGUCAGGAUAGACUCCGCCAUUGCAAGAUGGCUCCAACCUUCGCCGCGCCAGCCGGCCCCCCCUUUCAGGUAGUUAACUGUGCGCAUGUGCAAGAGUGCCUUCCUGCCAGGUCUUUGCCCAUUCCGGGGCGUGCCUGAUGAGAUCAUGAGUAAGCAACCAAUCAGGUGUGGAUGCGUACUCCAGGGUUAAAUAGGCGCGCCUGGCCGGCGCGCGGGGCCUCUCCAUGAGAUAGGAAUAAAGUAUCACUCAUAGCAAGAAUUUCUAUGUCUCGCGUGCUUCUUGCCGGCGGAAAGUCGCGCGCGGGACAUUUGGUGCCGAGAAACCGGGACAAAAACAUCGCCGGCGCUACGAGAGGCCUCCGUUUCACGGAAGAAAUUCAGAAGCUAUGGAAUACAGUGUCUUACAGAAUUGGGUUUCAACACGUUGGUGGACUAGUCCAGAAAUUGAGACAAUCCAUCGCCCAUAUCAGCUCCACUCGAUGGAUAGUCGCCGUGAACACCAUCUGGCUUUUUCCCCUCUUUGUCUAUUGUUUGUCUCUGGUGCACCAGGAUGUCCCCAUGUCUGUCAGUGUAUGUCUGUGGUUUUUGUUUCUCGUUGUCUAAAAGUUUUAUGUUUCAUGUUCAAAAGAAAAAAUGGUAAAAACUUUAUCUGCCGGUCGUGCGCACCUUGACUUGGUUUUAACUCGUUUCAAAAAGGAACAAAUGAAUAAAAAAGUUUCAAUCAGGUUUUUAAAGCCCUGUGCCUGGAGCCAGGUGUCUAGAUUAGCUGGAGAAGCUGACCAGAAGCUAAGCGUCUACACGAGCUGAUCUUAAAAGCGCCAACAGCUUCUUCAUACAAGAGUUGAUAGCUGUUUCUCUUAAAAAAAAUCCCUAACUUAUUACUUGACUCAACAGGUGACAAGGUGCUUCUCUUAAAAUUAUAGGUAAAAGGGUAAAAAUGAUGUUUGGUCUAUAUAUUAAAGAUAGGUGUAGCCACUUCAAUUUUGUUUCUCAUUGGUUUUAAAUGUAUAAAUAUGCUCUGCUUGCCUUGGUUGUGGACUAUUGGCUUUCAAGUUAUUAGAUAUGGUUAUAAGGGUAUAAUAUUGGUAACAGAAAGUUGACAUAAAGCUGGUAAUCUGGAUGGAGUCAUUCUAGAUAACAUGUGACAUGAGCCAACCCAGGGAAACAGGUCUAAAUUGAGGUAAUAUUUUUAUGGAACUCUUAUCCUAGAAACCAGGCUUCUAAAAGAAUUUAGGACAUUGUCCCUUGUUGAGGUAUUGGAGACCACACCAUUGUGCGUCCAAAUGUAAGAAUUGACAGUCAAACUUUGUAACAUAAUAGAUAGACCUGGGGUGCCUUGGAGACUAGAUUGUUUGUUGGGGGUUGAGUUUUGCUUUCCAAAGCCAUGGCUGGCCCAGAAGUUAUCUGUAUUUUAAUGCUAAUUCCACUGCCCCAAAAACAGCUGCCUAGCAAGUUUUGCUUUCCAAAGCUGUUGCUUGCCCAGAAGUUAUCUGUAUUUUAAUGCUAAUUUCCACUGCCCAGAGAACAGCUGCCUAGUCACAUACUCAGAACUCAGGUGACCUCGUGGCUGUGUUCUGGUGUUACAAAGAGAACUUAAAGAUUGUGAUUUAGGAUUGCCAGUGUUACAUUGACUAACUCAAACUUAUUUUUAAUUAAGGAAAAAUCAAACAGGUAGAGAUUGUUACAGGAUUUAUAAGGAUUGAUGAGGUUUUAGAACUUGUGAGAGCAUUACAGCCAGUUUCCUUACUCCAACUGCCAUUUCAAGACAGAUUUAGAGGAUUGAUUUUAUACAAUUUGUUUUCGUCAUAACAAUUGUGAGUUUUCAUUUCGUGAGCUUGCUUAUAGUUUUAGAGAGCCCAUAAAGUGAUAUCAUUAAGAAUGGCUAAAAGCCUUAUAUUAUAUAAUUUUGUUGCUUCUUCAGUGUAAGAAGUUAGAACUUAAAUCUUUCAAUGUAUAUGGAAAUUUUUAUUACAAACCUUUGCUCUCAAAAUGAGCUUUAAUAUUUGGGGAGUAGCUGUUACACUACUCUGGAUAAGAAUAUUUAAAGCUAAUUCUAAGCUUCUAAAGAUAUGUUAAUUGGCUAAGUACCUCACCUUACCAGAGGACUUAGGUCUUUGUUAUGCACAAAGAGAUAAAGCUUCAGCUGUGUUAGUAAAGAGUUGUGGACUGGAGUCAUAGAAGUAGUUUGAAAAGAAAACUGGUAAAACAUAUCUUAUUUCCAAACAACAGUUAAUUGGUUAUUACUAAAUACUGAUAUUUGGCCUAUUACAAAUACAAAAUUUUCAGACAAAAUUGAUAAUUUUCCUCUUUACAUGCUUUUGUACUUCCUACAUAUUUGUGUGUACAACCCAUAGGAAAUGCGCUUAGUACAUUUAUAGGUGGUUCAUCUAAUGAAAAGGCUACAGGUAUGAUUGGAUCACUUAUUUAUUCCUUUGAGUUUCUAUUGCUUCAAUACAGAUUAUUUAAUUCCAUGCUUUAGCCGCUGUUUUUAAAAUGUUAAAAGAUCAAGUUUUCUAUUCAUAUACUGAUAGCCAAUGUGUGGUUUGUGGUUUACAAUUGAUUUCUAUUACUUAAUGCUUUAUUGGAGACAGGUUUUCUACUUAAAAUCAGUGAGUGAUUUCAAUGUAAAUUGUCUGACAACUCACUGUCCUUUCAGUGCUCUGGCUCAGACAACUAAACAAAACCAUAGACCCAGCUCUUUACAAAUGGUAAUAGAGUUGAUAACACACCCUCACGAAAAGAGGAAGACUCCAUUUGUUUACUUUCAACUCCCAGCCUCACCCUGCCAGCUCAGAGAUUUCUAGUAAGACUGAAUCUGGACAAUAUUUACAAGAUUUGACAUUUCUAAUUAAUGCUUAUGUUUAGGUAAAUAAAGUUUGUGAGGUGCUAGAAAAAUGGCUUAGUGGUUAAGAGCACUAAAUACUGUUCCUUUAUAGGACAUUUAAAAACUCAAACUGGAUUGCCUGGGCUCCUUAACAAGGGAGGACAAGAUACCAGACAGAUUAUAGGCCUUACAUAAGAACAAUUAGUGAAAAAAAAAUCUCAUUCUUUAUAUAUUCAAUACAAUUAUGCUAGAAACGAUAAUUUGGUAUACAAGUCAAUUUAUAAAUACAAGUGCUCAGUGUCCUCAACUUAAUCCUCGAGAACUUACCUUAAUAAAUAAUAUCUUUACUAUAUCUUAAUAAAUAAAAAGGGGGAGUUAUCCCUGUAUGCUAAAUAAUGCUCCUUUUAUUUCAGUUUUAAAAUUUUGGAUGCCAAAGUUUAUGGCACCCUACAACUAGACAUACUUCUGCCUAGGUGAAAUAGAGAUCCACUUAUUGACAUGUUCCUGUCCAGAUAUUUUAUAUGGGGAAGAGGGAAUGUUUGUGUUUUUUCUACAGGAUGCUGCAGGAGUGUGCCAGCUGCCUGAGUGUCUGGUGAGACAUGCUGAUCCUGGGAGCAUGAAGAUUCAGCUCUCGUGGUUCGGGUCCCUGGAGUCAUUCCUCUGCCCUGACAGGAAGAUAGAAGAUGCCCCUUCAUCCUUUGUCAUCACAGAGAUUUUGCCAUUGCUGCAGUCAGUGUUACCGCUGCGUGUGUUCCCGUCCCAUUGUGGCCUACGCUCAGACUCUGUACACUGCUGCUUCCUGGAGAAGACUGGACUCCAGCUGUUACCCCUGUCCUUUCAUUUCCCUGGUGACUCUUGCUGCCUUAACUGGUAACUGGUGUUGUCAUUUUACAGACUGUAGCUUCACAGAAAGCCACCUAUAUAAAGCUACAGUGACUAGAGAACUCUGUCCUGGUCAUACAGAUCUCAGAAAUUGGUUCCAUUGUCUGCUGGUUGUUCCAGAGAAAAAUGACUGAUCCUGAACUGUCCUGGAAAAGACCUUGACACUUUCGCUGCUAUUGUAGCAGCCAUUACUGCUGCAGACAUUGUGUCUGCAGUGUCUGGAGUUAUCCUCCCCCAAUCUAUUGUUAGACAAGUACAGUGGGUGAACUUUCUGGAGUAGUUACUAACAAUUGGAAAUUCUAAAUUUCAUUAUAGGAGUGGCUUGACCACGGCCCUUGGUGGCAACAGCUGAGGAGGACCAUAUGAGGUGCCCCCUACUUAUCGGGAGUGGCUCUGUCUGAUACAGCCCUAUGCUGUAGAUCAGUAUUCAUACCAUGGUUGGUUUACAAACUCGGAUCUCAACAGUAACGUGACAAGGCCGUUAUCACUCAAGCACUUGUGGCCAUUGUACAAAGGGCCUCACCUGGAAUUUGGUUAUCUUGUUCAGGAUUUACUCUGUAUCUGAGUUCCCUGCUCCUGCACCCCAUGGGUCUGUGGGUCCAAUCCACUGGGAGGAGAGGGAUACUCUCUAUAUCUGAGUUCUCUGCUCCUGCACCCCAUGGAUCUGUGGGUCCAUUACACUGGGAGGAGAGGGAUACUCUCUGUAUCUGAGUUCUCUGCUCCUACACCCCAUGGAUCUGUGGAUCCAUUACACUUGGAUUGAGAGAGACUCAGUGUUCCUUUGAUCAGCCCUUGCACAUCGCUGAGGUUUCCUCAUUGCACGCGAUAGGGUGAUCAUUUCUGCUAUAAAAUUAUAAUUAUAAGGGUGAGAUGUAGAGGGCCGCAAUACGUUCGUCACCACUAGUUGGCGCUGUCUUCCACUGCGCCCCACGUGGUAGGUCAGGAUAGACUCCGCCAAUGAAAGAUGGCUCCAACCUUCGCCGCUCCAGCCGGCCCCCCCUUUCAGGUAGUUAACUGUGCUCAUGUGCAAGAGUGCCUUCCUGCCAGGUCUUUGCCCAUUCCGGGGCGUGCCUGAUGAGAUCAUGAGUAAGCAACCAAUCAGGUGUGGAUGCGUGCUCCAGGGUUAAAUAGGCACGCCUGGCUGGCGCGCGGGGCUUCUCCAUGAGAUAGGAAUAAAGUAUCACUCAUAGCAAGAAUUUCUAUGUCUCGCGUGCUUCUUGCCGGCGGAAAGUCGCGCGCGGGACACUAUACUGUCCUGGACAUUGUUUUCUAGUGUUCUCUCUAGGCCAUAUUGCAAAGUUUUAAGUUUAUCUAUCUGUUGCUCAAUCUCAUCUAUGAAAUUUUCAAGUGUUUGCUCUAAUUUGUUUUCUAAGGCACAUACUUUUUUACCUAGGACACUGUUUUAUGAGAAGACACAGUAAAUCAAGAGAAUAAAUAUUGCAUUAAUAAUAAAUUCCAAAGUGUCUAAUUUAUUUAAAUCUAUUCCUGUCAAACUGUUCGAAUUAUUAUCACAUAACGUUAUUUAUUACGUUUCUCAUCUAUAUAUAUGUAUGUAUGUAUAUACGUAUUUCAUGUAUGUAUGUAUAAUCAAGGUAUAAUACUUAUUAAAUGGUCUCGAAGCC